rnacentral:lncRNA from 1 species
UUUCAUUCUGGAUUUCACUUGUUUUAUGGCAGAGAUUCAGAACAGCUGUGUGGGCUUUUCUUACACUUAUUUAGUAAGCAUUUUUCAACUUGUUUUUCAACAAGUGUGGUCCAAGAACCACAUGCAAUAGCAUCACCAGGGUGCUUAAUAGAAAUACCCAUUCCUGGGGCCCAAUUUAGAACCACUAAGUCAGAUUCUAGGGGGUUGGGGCCUGGUAAUAAGCCUGUUAAGUGAUGGAGGACCCUUGUGAUUACAUUGGACCCACCUGGAUAAUCCGGAAGAUUCGCCCCAUCUCAAAGUCAGCUGACUAGGAACUUUAAUUCCUUUUGUAACCAUAAUUGCCCUUUACUACAAGGUAAACAUAACAUUCACACGUUUUGGGGAUUAGCAUGUGCACCUCUUUAAAGGGCUAUCAUUCUGCUUACCAUAGAUCCCAUUGAGAAACAGCUGAAAAUUAUCAUUCAAAUUCUCCAACUGUGGCCCCUCUACCUGUAGCAUCAGUAUCACCUGGGAAUUUGUUAGGUAAAUCUCAGUUUCCACCCAAGAUCUGCUGAACCAGAAUCUCUAGGACUGGGCCCGGCCAUCUGUAUUUUCACAAGCCCUCCAGGUGAUUCUGAUGCAUACCAAUGUUUGAGAAUCACUGUUUUAAGUAAUGUCAUAAGGAACCAGAAUAAAAAUUCAAGCAAACUCUCCAUUUUGACUUAAUACUGUCAGUUGAUAGAGAACUUUACAUUUUACUUAGUAUUUUACUUAUAAUUUAAGGUUCCAGGAACCUAAAGCAUUCUGGAGGUACCCUAGAGCCUCGGAGGAUGCAUGAAGACCAAGCAAUGUGUGAUGUUGCCUCUUCUCAAUCCCACAUUGAUGUCUAGCUGAGUGAGAUGAAAUGCAGAGCAAUCUAGAACCCUUUGUUAACAAAAUUAGGUAAGAGAAAAUAUUCAAGACGCUCCAUUCAUCUUUAGAAUACUCUGCUGUGUUUGCUUUCUCCUACACAAACUGAGACUCUGAGGCAGUGACUGACUUCCCCAAAUCCCACAGCCAGAAAGUGAAGUUAAUAUGACAUCAUACAGCCUGUUGAGGAGCCAUCAGCUUAUCAUCCAUGGCCGAUUGUGGUGUCUGAACAGAAAGAUAAUCCACUAAAAAAAAUAAAAAGGACCAAAAAUAAACAAAAGGCCUGUCCAACUGCUGUUUGCCUGAAGCUGGCGUCUGAGAAGAACUUUCCCAGAAACAGGCAGCACCUGAAAUUACCAAGUAUAAAUACGAUGGGAAGAAAUAGGCAUGAAAGAAGUUUGAAAAAGCUCUGGUUUUAGUGUUUGCUUCUUGCAGCGUUGCCUGAGGGCCUGGUUUCUUCUUCAACAUGCAGGACUCUUCAAAGUGAAAUCAACGGGAUUUCCUCCCUUCCACAUUAUCCCUCCUGUCCACUCCGCAUCGGUGACCAUCCUGAAUUUAUCAAGUUCUCUUCUGUUAUUAUGUAAAGACCUCUUGGGUUUACAUAUAGUCCUCAAAGUCUUUCUCAAUUAAGACUUCAAAAUUUAAAACUAUUAAUUGAAACAUUAUGUGACAGGCACUUUGAUAAAUCCUGAAGUUACAGGGCUGAACCAGACAGACAUAAUUCCGGUCUCACUAAGCUUAAAUAAGGACAUAUAUUUCCCUGUCCUCCACAAAUGCAAUUUCUUUUUUAUUUUUGCUUUCCACUAGUCCAAUUGCUGUAACAACUUUGUGAUGUUACCUAUUUGUUGUUUUCACAUUUAUCUCAGAUGUGCACAAAUUUUCAAAGCUAACAUUAUAUUGGUCUGAAAUGAUAUGCUAUUUUAAGGAAGAUUGUGCAAAUUAUAUUUCCAACUGCCUUCAGGCUGUUUCCAUUUUUCUGUGGGCUGCGUCCUCGCCUUUGUUUUCCGGAUCUGAUUAGGCUUGGGAAGCAACGUGAAAUAGGUCAGAUGGACUGGGAUUUGAACUUUACUUGGGAAUUUUAAUGUAAUAUUUCUAGGUCUCAGUUUUCUCAGUUAAAAUGGAUUACCUCUUACCAUAUAAGGUUGUUGUGAAGAUUAAAGUAUGUGUGCAUGAGUGUAUAUCUAUACAUAUGUAUAGAUAUACAUAUAUUUUAAAAUGGAGAGAGAUUUAUUUAAAACCGUGACUGACAUGUAAUGGGUGCUCAAUAAGUGUUUGUCCUCAUAUCCCCACCUCUUCCUAGUUAAUUAUUCUUAUGAAAUAUGAACGUUUUCGUUUUUCUCCUCCAUCCCAUCGCCUCAGUCCCGGCACCACGUCUUGUGUAAAGACCCCUGCAUUAGCCUCCUAUUGUUUUUCUCUCCAAUCCUUCACCUGUAAUCUUUCUAAAUGGUUGCUUUCACCAUGAUUCUCCCCUGCUAGGUAUAUCCUGCAAACACUUACUGCCCUUCACAGUGCUCUUUCUGGUGUUCUUCCUGCUUUACUUUCGUUUACUCUUGGUAAAACUACUUCCAUCCUCUCCAUUGCAGGAUCAGUUCAAUUU